AUUUACAUGAGAGUUUGAUCCUGGCUCAGGACGAACGCUGGCGGCGUGCCUAAUACAUGCAAGUCGAACGGUCUUUUCUAUGGAAGCUUGCUUCCA
rnacentral:rRNA from 1 species